GGUGCUGCGCAGCUACCAUGCAGUCGAGCGGAACGAGUUAUCUGAACCUUCGGGGAACGAUAACGGCGUCGAGCGGCGGACGGGUGAGUAAUGCCUAGGAAAUUGCCCUGAUGUGGGGAUAACCAUUGGAAACGAUGGCUAAUACCGCAUGAUGCCUACGGGCCAAAGAGGGGGACCUUCGGGCCUCUCGCGUCAGGAUAUGCCUAGGUGGGAUUAGCUAGUUGGUGAGGUAAGGGCUCACCAAGGCGACGAUCCCUAGCUGGUCUGAGAGGAUGAUCAGCCACACUGGAACUGAGACACGGUCCAGACUCCUACGGGAGGCAGCAGUGGGGAAUAUUGCACAAUGGGCGCAAGCCUGAUGCAGCCAUGCCGCGUGUGUGAAGAAGGCCUUCGGGUUGUAAAGCACUUUCAGUCGUGAGGAAGGUGGUGGUGUUAAUAGCACUAUCAUUUGACGUUAGCGACAGAAGAAGCACCGGCUAACUCCGUGCCAGCAGCCGCGGUAAUACGGAGGGUGCGAGCGUUAAUCGGAAUUACUGGGCGUAAAGCGCAUGCAGGUGGUUUGUUAAGUCAGAUGUGAAAGCCCGGGGCUCAACCUCGGAAUUGCAUUUGAAACUGGCAGACUAGAGUACUGUAGAGGGGGGUAGAAUUUCAGGUGUAGCGGUGAAAUGCGUAGAGAUCUGAAGGAAUACCGGUGGCGAAGGCGGCCCCCUGGACAGAUACUGACACUCAGAUGCGAAAGCGUGGGGAGCAAACAGGAUUAGAUACCCUGGUAGUCCACGCCGUAAACGAUGUCUACUUGGAGGUUGUGGCCUUGAGCCGUGGCUUUCGGAGCUAACGCGUUAAGUAGACCGCCUGGGGGAGUACGGUCGCAAGAUUAAAACUCAAAUGAAUUGACGGGGGCCCGGCACAAGCGGUGGGAGCAUGGUGGUUUAAUUCGAUGCAACGCGAAGAACCUUACCUACUCUUGACAUCCAGAAGAACUUUCCAGAAGAUGGAUUGGGUGCCUUCGGGAACUCUGAAAACAGGUGCUGCAUGGCUGUCGUCAGCUCGGUGUUGGUGAAUGUUGGGGAUAAGUCCCGCAACGAGCGCCACCCCAUUUAUCCAUUGAUUGCAGGCGGAGUAAUGGUCAGGUACCUCCAAGGGAAAACCUGGCCGGGUGAAUAACCGGGAGGAAGGGGGGGGGACCACACAGCUUCGAGGUCCACUUCCAG
rnacentral:rRNA from 1 species